rnacentral:tRNA from 1 species
GUCCCUGUCGAUUAGUUGGUUAGAUCACCACGUUGUGGCCAUGCUCCGUGGCGACGCAAGUUCGAAUCCUGCCGGGGACA